rnacentral:rRNA from 1 species
AGCCGCGACAACGCUUACGGGGCCCUACGGGGUGCAGCAGGCGCGAAACCUCCGCAAUGUGAGAAAUCGCGACGGGGGGAUCCCAAGUGCCAUUCUUAACGGGAUGGCUUUUCAUUAGUGUAAAGAGCUUUUGAAUAAGAGCUGGGCC